rnacentral:rRNA from 1 species
UUUUAUGGAGAGUUUGAUCCUGGCUCAGGAUGAACGCUGGCGGCGUGCCUAAUACAUGCAAGUCGAGCGAACAGAUGAGGAGCUUGCUCCUUUGACGUUAGCGGCGGACGGGUGAGUAACACGUGGGUAACCUACCUAUAAGACUGGAAUAACUCCGGGAAACCGGGGCUAAUGCCGGAUAACAUGUUGAACCGCAUGGUUCUA